UUAAUUUGUCCCUAAUAGUACUAGCAAGCAGUAGUUUUUCCUGUAGUCUUGUCAAGAGAGAAUGUGUAUUUUUCACUCAUAGUGGUAGACAGGCUGCAAGUACCCAGGUAAUUUAUCAUAUUGUUCUAAUUGCAUGAGUAACCACGGAGUUUUUGCAGGUAUCCAUUCAAGAGUGGAAAGUAUAUCUUACUAGGGUUUAACCUCAGAGUUCUGUGAGCAUCCAGGUAAUGUUGAUGCGUCCCAAACUGAUACAAGGAUGACAGAAUUUGCAGGUGCACAGGGAAAGAGAGACAUGUACCAACAUAUUUUCCACCAUUUGUUUUUCUGGCAUGCCAAGAGAUUGCAGUGAGCUUAUCUGUGGCAAUUAAUGGGGCACAUUGCUGGUAUUGAGGUAAGUUAAGGUGUAGGCCUACACCACAGCACAGACCGUCUCAUCUCCUUCUGUCUAGGUAAGUAGUAAUGUGUGCCAGCACUUCUUGUUACCAUAAUUCUGUUGCAUGUAUUCAGGUAAGAAAUGAGAGCAUCCUGACCAGUUCUAGAGACCAUGAGUUUUUACUUUGUAUAUUUUAGGGAAAAUUUAUAUUUAACACAAUGAAUGUGUUUAUUGCAGAUGUUUAUCAUGGUUUUCCUACCACACUACUACCCUAGGAUCUUUACAGCGUCCAGCCAAGAAAUGGUGUUUUCCUGACCUUGGUGUUGCCCUGGGAUUACUGCAAGUAGCCAAGUAGAGUUAACGUAUUCCAUAAUGAUGAAGUGUCCAAGCUUGUUUGCGGCUGUACUGGUAGAAAAUUUAUAUCCUUUAACAUAUGUUUCAUAACAUUUUUUUCAGGUUUCUGUCCAGAGGUGACAAUGAACCUAAAAUGAGUCAUUAAUGGGGACACUGCAGGUAUGCAGGUAAGUGAUGAUAGGGGCCCAAACGACAGCACAGAACAUCUGAUCUCCAGAUAUCUAAGUGAUGACAGUGUCCCUCACACUUGUUACCGUGAUUUCUUGGCAGGCACCCAGGUAGGAAACGACAGAUCCCUCAGCAGUCUAGAAAUCAUGAGUUUUCAUGUUGUAUGUGUUAGAGGAAUUUUUUGUUUCUCUAUGUGAGUGUUCAGUCAUAUCACAUAUCCAGGUAAUUAUCGUGAUGUUCCCAGCCGUGGUAGAGACCAUGAAAAUUUUGCAGGUUUCCUGGUAAGAAAUGUUGUCUUACCUGACAAUGUUCUUGAUCUUGUCAUAGAGUUGAUGUUCUCAUUCUGAGGAAAGUGAUGAAUGUCAUUUGCAGGUAUAGUGGUAGAACACGUUGUUUCCUUUCAAACAUAUAUCAAAUGGUGUUUUUUAAAUUCAUGUCAAGAGGUCACAGUGAACCUAACAAUGGCUGUUAACAGGAGACAUUUCUGGAAGCCAGGUAAUAUGCAUUGUCACCAUAUCACAGACCAUCCAAUCUUCAUACACUUAGGUCAGGGAUGUUUGCUCUUGUUUUUCACCAUGAGAUUUUUCAGGUAGGUUUUCCAGGUAAGAAAUGAUAAUGUUUUACCAAUUCUAGAAACCAUGUUAUCCUGCCAAGAUUAUGUUUAACCAUGUGAGUGAUGAGCAAUUUUCAGAUAUCCAUGUAAUUAUCAUGGAGCUGCAAGUCAGAAAUAACCAUUUUUUUUUUGGCAGGUGAGCAUUCAAGAGAUAAUCACAUCUUAACAAUGGCGUAGACCUUGGAGUACUGCGAGAUUCCAGGUAGAUUUCAUGAGUCCUGCAGCGAUGCUGGUAACAAGGUUAUUUUCAGGGUCCAGGUAAAAAAAGUGUGUCCAUUUAUUACAAUGUGUGUUUCAGGUUACUGUUAAGAGAUCAUGGUAAACCUCAUAGUCAUCAUUAAGGGGAUUUUAUUUGUGUCCAGGUGAGUGAUGCUGUGGGCCUUUUGCAUGCUGCAGACCAUCAGGUACUCAGAAAUCUAGGUAGGUGUGGAUGGUAUUCCUAACUUCUGUGUUGCCAUUUCUUGGGCAGGUAUUCAGGUAAGAAAUGAUAUUGUCAACUAAAGCUGGUAAGCAUGAGCCCUUCUUUUAGAGUUUAUAUAUAAUGUUUGUUUAACCUUAGUAGUCGCUGAGGGAUUAUGUAGGUCUCCAGGUAGGUUAUUGUUUUGUCCAUCACAUCUUUAUUAACCAUGGCUUUUUGCAGUUAUAUUGUUGAGACAGGAUUGCGUUUCUAGGGUAUGGACCUUGAAUUUCUUCAUGUUUCCAGGUAGUUUUGAUGGACCCCCUAAAUUUGAUGGACUUCUGAAGAUAUUUAGGUUUUACCUGUAUUCCUAACACAGUUUUUAUCAAAAAUUUUUAUAGAAUCCAAUCAAGACAUGAUCAUUUGAUACCAGCCCAAUUCCAAAUUAAAUACUAUUGUUAGUCAAACCAUCCUCUCUUCACUGGUAUUUUUGCAGAUGUCCACUCUCUAUCCAAGGUCUUGACCUUGAGUUUUUACAAGUAUCUGGCUAAAUUUAAUGGUUCCCCUUAAGUUUGUAGUGCUUACAGGAUUUUCGAGUACCCAAGUUGCAGAAUUGUCCUUAUACACUGUUGCCUCCUUGUUUUUUUGUACAGUCCAGUUAAGACAUUGUUGAGAACUUCCAUAUGGUAUUGAAAGCAAAAUUUUGCUGGCAUCCAAGUAAGAUGGUGGUAUUUGUACCAAAGUUAGAGUUCAGAAGGCUUUGAAGAUACCCAGGUAGACUAAUGAUGGUGUUCUUAAGCCAACAUAGUAACCAUAUUUACUUGCAAGUAUCCUGGUAAGUUGUGUUGACUAGCCAUGGUGGUGAUCCGAGGAAGUUUGCAAAUAUCCUGUCACACUAUGAAGGUGUCUCUAACUAAGGUAUUUUCCUUGGCAAUUUGCAGGUAUCCAAGUAAGACUUGAUGGUGUCCCUAAUCAAGAGAAUGACCAUGACAUUUUGCAGUUAUCGAGGCAAGAGGUGAUAUGUCCCUACCAUGAUCUUGAUCCUGGGCCUGUCUACGUGUUCAGGUUAAGAGAUCUUACUUGUCUGAUUAUGUAACUGCCCACAGGGAUUUUUGCUGCUCUGCAGGCAGAUGAUGAUCUUUGAAAUUUGCAUGUAUCCAAGUAAGAGUUGAUAGGUCCCUUACCAUGCUAAUGGCCUUGGGAUCUAUCAUUUGUCCAGGUAAGGAGUGAUGUGUCCUUAAUCAUGUUAGUUACCGUAGGUUUUUGCAGGUAUCUAGAUAAGAGAUGAUGGUGGCCCUAACCAUGGUAUGGACCAUAGGAUUUUCUACAUGUCCAGGUAAGAUUAUCAUCUAUCAACAACUAUGUUAGUUAUCCUCAGAUUUUUUUAUGUAUUCUGGAAAGAGACAAUGGUAUUCCUAACAAUACUGAUGACCUUAGGAUUUUGUAGAUACCCAUCAAGAGAUGAUGGCAUCUCUGUCAAUAUUGGUGUCUGUGGGAAGGAAAGAAAAUGGAAUACUUUUUUCGGUUAGCUAUGUAUUUGGUUAAAGGGAUUUUUAACAUUCAGUGACUGAUAAAUCUCAUUCAUAAUCAUAUUUUCUUAUCUCAUUUACAAUCAUAUUGUCUUUAUUUGUUCAGUUUCUCCAUGAUGAUGUUUGUACCAGGCAUCUCAGGCCCACAUUUAUGAAAUUUUUUAAUUUCUAGGAACCAUCAACACAGAUAAAUUUCAUGUAAAAUGUGGUUAUUCCUAAAGAAAAUUAGGCUAUAGAGCCACUUCUUAGUUAAAGGGUUGGGGCAACCAAGGGGAGAGGAUUACUGGUGUACAUAUUCUCAAGAAAAACAUUUGUGUUCUCACCUUCUUGAUAGGAAUAGAUAUUAGAUGAUACGUUAGAAAAAUAUGUGAAACAUGAUGUAGAUUAAUGGGGACUUGAAUAGCUCUUAUCCAAUUAAUUCAGUUAUUUAAUUGCUAUUUAGAUUAUACCAUUGAAACAUAGAAAAUGAGAGCCAAAGAACUUGGUAUUGAACUAGUCCAACACUACCAUGAGUGAGAGAGCCCUGAGUGCAGAGAGGUUGAUCAAGAUCACACAAUUGUCUAGUUGGCAGGUGCUCUUAGACCACCUUGUUUUCUUUGUUUUGAAAGCCUGAGACUGGUUCAAAAGCAAUAAAGGCAAGUGCUCCAGUGCUUGUUUGAAUCAGUAUGUUUCAGGAAAUGCAUUUCCAAUCGGCCAGACUCUCCAUUGGGCACUUGGCUUUUUUGCUCAUGUAUUCAGUGUAAAAUUCUCUUUAGGGAAGCCCUGGGUCGUCCUCCUAAAGCCCCAGCUACGUAUUUGUCUAGAGAAGGGAAGCAACCUUGUCUGAAUCGGUUCAGCCAAGUGGGAUCCCUGUGAAGUUCCCUUCUCCUCCUAGGUAGCCAUUCUGGGGUCCAUUUACAACCAUUAUAGAUCUGAGUAUGGAAUCACUGCUCUGCAUCUUGACACCAUUGAACAUGUCAGGCCAAGACCCUGGAAGUGUAGUCUUACCCACGGGAAAAGAGAGGUAAAGGGGUUAACCUGCAAUAGUAGAUGAGGAUAAUGAUGGAGAAAAAAAAUUAUAGAAAUGAGGCUGAAUAAACUUGCCCAUGUGCCUUCACCCUGGCCCAUGCACAGAGUACACACUCAAAAAAAUGUUUUUUAAGUCAAUGAAUGCAGCUUGAUAGUUUGGAUGAUUGUGGAUUAGCUUGUUCAACCACCAUUCUUUCUUCUAAUGUGUGAAGGCAAGAGAGCAAAGAACUCCAUUUCCCAGACUACUUGCAACAUGCAUUCAUGCACUGGAGUCUAUAGAAAAUGCAGUCAAGAGGACGGCGCAUGAGGAGAGACAGAAGAGGUAGAACAAACCGUGAUGAGCAAAGAACCUCCCUUUCUUUAUUGACAAGUUUUACUAUGAAGCAAAAAGAUGGAGAGAUGGCACUUUUGUAGGCACUUGGCUAUGCAGCGGCUCAGUCUGGGUCCUCCAAGAAGCAGGCGCCAAGAUGAAAUGUGGAAUGAAAUGUGCUCAAACGCACUGGGGGAGAUACCUGAGCGGGAGAAAGGUGA